rnacentral:rRNA from 1 species
UACAGAGGUGGCAAGCGUUGUUCGGAAUUACUGGGCGUAAAGGGCGAGUAGGUGGCCAUCUAAGUCAGACGUGAAAUCCCCCGGCUUAACCUGGGAACUGCGUCUGAUACUGGACGGCUUGAGUAUGGGAGAGGAACGUAGAAUUCCAGGUGUAGCGGUGAAAUGCGUAGAUAUCUGGAGGAACACCGGUGGCGAAGGCGGCAUCCUGGACCGAUAUUGACGCUGAUGCGCGAAAGCCAGGGGAGCAAACGGG